ACGGUACAUAAAAACCGAUUGAAAUUUAAAAACUUAAUAAUGGAAUGGAAAUUUUUUUUUCGGACUCAUAAUUAGUUUGUAAUAGGAACUGAACGGACAUGUGGGUUACGUGAAAUUAUUUUACCUUAUUUAUUUUUAUCACCAUCGUGAAUCACUUGCAAAUUUCAAAACCAAACUAGCAAAUUCUUGAUAAAUACUGACAGUAUCAUCGAUUUCUGAUAAUGUGAGUGGGCCGACUUCACGGACAGCACUUCAUGUACGUACGCCUUUGUCGCUUCCCAUUUGUCCCGACUUUGGAUCAUAAAACUUACUACCGUCUCUACUUCCAGAUUUACUUCGCUAACUGCAUCUAGUUCCCUUCGUCGACACCGCCAUCGAUCACACAGGAACAGAGCAUGCUCGAGUUUAUAGGCACAACUAGAGACCAAACACCGGGGGUGCUAAAAUUAUGUAGAGGACACGAUCUCGUGAAGGCUACGCCCCCCAUACCCUCAAA